AUGGCGCACAUAACAACCAUCUUGGGGGUGCUGAUGGCGGCUGCAGCAGCGGCGAUGCUGAUAUCGCCGCUCCUUGCUGGAGCAGAAGUUUAUCCGGCGGAGGUGCAAGGGAUGCCCGACUGCGACAUCACCUGUGGCAACAUAAGUGUGCCGUACCCGUUCGGCAUGGGUCCGGCUAGGUGCUACUGGCCGGGGUUCAACCUCACCUGCAACCACACAAGCAACCCGCCGUGGUUGCUGCUCGGCGACGGCACCCUCCAAGUCAAAGAAUUUUCCCUCACUAACUGGUCGACAUUUGUGGCCGUCAUACGCACGGGCGACAUAAAAGUCAAUGGCAAUGGUGAAGGCACACUCGGCGGUGGUCUUACCACCAACGGGCCCUACACGAUUUCAUCCAACAAGCUCAUCCUGCUGGGCUGCAAUGUUCAGGCGACACUCAAGAACAGUGAUGUGAUCGUGAGCAGCUGUUCUUCUUUCUGCAAAAACGGUGAUAGACUCUCCCAUGUGCGAUCCACACUCGAAGAAGGCAUGCAAUGCUCUGGCAGUGGCUGCUGCCAGUCGGACAUUGUCUUCGACCCUGCGGACGUAGUAGGAAGGCUUGCCAGCAGCACGUCCUACGACGUGCAGCUCAAAUGGUUCGGCUGGAACCGCAGCGCGGACCACCAGUGGCCGGCAUACGUCUUCAUUGCGAGGUAUGAUUGGUUCAGCCAUACACCGGUCUUAGAGGAGCUAUUUCGAACAGAUGCCCCUGUGUCAGCGGAUGCAAUACAACUUCCCCUGUUGCUGGAUUGGGAGGUUGUUGGCCAUGGCGCAGAGUGCUCCAACGUCUGCAAGAGCAGGCACAGUGACUGCAUAAAGGGUAAGAGAGGCUACAUAUGCUUAUGCAAUGAUGGCUACCAAGGGAAUCCCUACAUCACCAAUGGAUGCAAAGAUAUCGACGAGUGCAAUGAACAGUACCCUAAAACGUGCUAUGGUGAUUGUACCAAUUCGGAUGGAUCACAUGACUGCCGCUGUCCGCCUGGAACCCAUGGCGACCCUACGAUGCCUGAUGCCUGCUUCAUCAAUUUCGUCCCAGGUAACUGCAGCACAUCCUGCGGUGACAUAAACGUGCCAUACCCCUUCGGAAUUGGCUCUGCCGGUUGCUACUGGCCAGGGUUCAACCUCGCCUGUAAUACAAGCCAACGGCCAGCAAAGCUACUCCUCGUCCUCCAUGAGUACCCCUUCCACGUCACGGAGAUCUCCCUCCAGAACAACACGAUGCGCCUCAGCACCUACUCCAUCAUGCAUAUAGACCCCAGCGAUUCACCUGGUAAUUUUACGUUUUUCAAUUUCUCUGGGACGCCCUACUCACUAUCGACCGGCAACGAGUUCAUCCUGUCGGGCUGCAACCUUCAGGCGACGCUGACUGGGGGUGGCCCUGAGGUUUUCAUCAGUGGUUGUGCCUCCUUCUGCCCCUCCAAUAUAAGUGGCACCGAUGUGGAGACGGCACUGCAGCGUAGAGGAAGAUACUGCAAUGGGAUGGGCUGCUGUCAGGCGAAUAUCCCCAUGUCUUCCAACGACAUUUCCACGUUGUUGAUAGUUCAAAAGCUCAACAAGAAUGAUGGCCAGGAGUUGACGUUGCAGCCCGCGUACAUGCUAAUCGCAGAGGAGGGGUGGUUCGAUCAACAACAGCUGUCCAAGGAGAUAGCAGGGCAGGAGGAAUCCGAAAUACCCAAGGUGCAGGUUCCCGUAGUUCUGCAGUGGGAGGUCAUGCAAGGCUUACCACGACUAGCUAACAUGAAGGUGCAUCCGGGCUGUCCAGUAGAGGUAGUCCGCAAGCUCUGCAAGAGCAAGAACAGCUAUUGCAAACGUGGGAGCAGAGGCUAUUUAUGCCAGUGCAUGGAUGGCUACGACAAGCCUGGCAACAACCCCUACCUCGCCGACGGAUGCAAAGGUGGCCGCAAGCCCUUAUCUACAGGUAUAUACCUCGUCAGCAUAGGAGUUGCUGUUGGGGCAUGCAUCGUACUAUUUCUUCUUGCUGGAUCCUUCACACAUAAGAAGUUCAAACAUCGAAGAGCGCAGAUGUUGAAACAGAAGUUCUUCGAAAAAAACCGUGGACAAUUGUUGCAACAAUUGGUAUCACAAAGAGCUGAUAUUGCAGAAAGAAUGAUUAUAACCUUAGAUGAGCUUGAGAAGGCAACAAACAGAUUUGAUAAAGCUCGCGAGCUUGGUGGUGGUGGGCAUGGCACAGUCUACAAAGGGAUCCUAUCAGAUCUUCAUCUUGUAGCCAUCAAGAAACCAAAGGCGGUGAUUCAAAAGGAGAUUGAUGAAUUCAUUAAUGAGGUUGCUAUCCUAUCACAGAUCAACCAUAGAAAUGUCGUAAAACUCUAUGGUUGUUGCCUUGAAACAGAGGUCCCCAUAUUGGUCUACGAGUUUAUAUCCAACGGCACCCUUUAUGAUCAUCUUCAUAUUGAUGGACCAAGAUCAUUGUCAUGGAAUGAUAGGCUACGGAUAGCAGUUGAGACUGCUAGAUCUUUAGCCUAUCUUCACUCAACAACUUCAGUACCCAUCAUCCAUAGAGAUAUCAAGUCUGCUAAUAUACUUUUGGAUGAUACUCUAACAGCAAAGGUCGCAGACUUCGGAGCUUCACGGUAUGUUCUGUUGGAUAGAUCAGGGAUCACAACAAGAGUGCAAGGUACAAGAGGAUAUCUGGACCCUGGGUAUUUCUACACCGGGCGUCUCACAGAAAAAAGUGAUGUGUACAGCUUUGGUGUCUUGCUUCUGGAGUUGUUGACUAGAAAGAAACCAUUUUCAUUCAUCUCUUCGGAAGAUGAAGGCCUCGUUACACAUUUUACUACCUUAUUCACACAAGGCAAAUUAUCAGAGAUACUAGAUCUGCAAGUUAUGGAAGAGGGAGGCAGUGAAAUGGAAGAAGUCGCGGCGCUUGCAGCCAUGUGUAUAACAUUAAGAGGAGAGGAUCGUCCGUCCAUGAAGCAAGUGGAGAUCAAGCUCGAAGGCACUCAAGCAUCUAGGGAACAUGAGGGGGGUAAUGUAAGAAAUUGUCCAGCGACUGCAGAUGGAAGUGGGACCGAGGAGUUAUCCAGACAGUAUAGUAUGGAAGAGGAGUUCAUGUUAUCUUCAAGGUAUCCUCGGUAG
rnacentral:rRNA from 1 species